GUAACUAUGAAGGAUCUGAGAGAGGAGGACGAUGGAUGGUAUCAGUGUGGAAUAUCAACACCGCAAGUUUUCAGUGAUGAACUGAGUCCAGUGCACAUCAGUGUCAAAAAAGUCCAGGCUCCAGGGUGGGAAAACCAAAGGAAACGUAACAGUCCAGUGUAAAUAUCACAAGUCAUACGCUGACCAUGUCAAAUACUGGUGCAAA